rnacentral:lncRNA from 1 species
UGAAAAGCAGAAAUCCCUCCUUUAAAAAUAUGUACUCUCUCUCUUUCUCUCAUUCUCUUCUCUCUCUCCACUCUCUUUCUCUCUCUUCUCCCUCCCGGUACACUCCAUUCCCCCUUCUCUCUCUCUCUCUCCCUUCCUCCCUUCGAGCUCAGAUCACCGGCGAAGCGCCGCCGCCUCGGCCUCGUCGCCUCCGCCAUCUCUCUAUCGCUGUACUCUCUCUCUCCCUCUCCCUCUCGCCGCCCGUCUGCCGCGCCGCCGCCACUCAAUCUCCGGCAAUCGCAGCGGCAGCACCGCAUAGCCACCACCACCGCGACGCCUCUUUCUCUCGAUUCUGACUUGGAGUCUUCGGAUUCAAUUUGUAGAAAAACGCAGCCGCAGUUGCGGUGGUAGAUCUCCGGCAAUCGCAGCGGCAGCGCCGCACAACCACCACCACCACCACGCCUCUGUCUAUCUCUCGCUCUCGAUUCUAACUUGGAGUCGUCGGAUUCAACUUGUGGAGAGCAUAGAUCUGGUGGCCUUGGGGUGGUUGAAGUGGAAAGGGAAGAGUCGGCGGCUGGGGUGUUGUCUUCGACAUCUUGCUCCAGAUCUGCAGUGCUUUGUGUCAAAGCUUGAUGUUUGCGAUAUGUUUGUUUGUAAGUUUACUGUAUUUUUUGAAAUUCUUUUUUUUCCCCUUCUUUUUCUGGGUAUUAAAUUGUAUUUAUAAUGGGUUAUAAAUAGUUCAUACAUACAACUUGAUUCUUUUGUAUUUGAAUUUCUAUAUUUUUGAUUGUUUGAAUCUUUUUUCCGAAGUUUU